rnacentral:lncRNA from 1 species
AGCCGGUGCUCUCCUGUAUGAGCGUCCUCUACUCACAACACCUUCUGAAGGAGCCUCAGUCCUGCCAUGACUGGGAGAACCUAUCACGAGCAUUGCCAGCAUCCAUGCAACAGCUCACCUGCAAGGCUUUCAAAUCUGCUGACCUUCAGAGUGUCAGAGCAGUGCUGAAGCCCAGGACAUGGCUGUCAUCCCUUAUUCCUCCUAGCUCAAAUCACCUUCAAUAUCCUGAUAGGAACCAAACACCAGGCCAUCCCGCCAUUUCAGUCUCUGUCCCAAGGACAUUAAAUUCCAUCAUCGUCCUUCAGCUAACAACCAAAAGCCUUCCUGAAACACAGCCUCAUGCAAAUAGGUACUGAGAAAAGUUCCUAGCCCCCAGUUCUGCAAACACUCACCUACGCAGUUUGGAAUCAGCUAGGUUAUGUGCCUGUGCAUUUAUAUAUGCAGAUAAAUAACACAGCAGCUAUACUAC